UCUGUCUAUUUCAUCUGCCUGUCUCUGUUUGUCUGUUAAUCAAUCAAUCAAGACAAUGUCUGUCUAUCUGUUUGAGUAUCUGUCUGUCGUCUAUCAAUCUCUUUUUGUCACUCUCUGUUGGUCUGCCUUUCUCUGUGAAUCAAUCAAUCAAUCAAUCAAACAGUCUGUUACAGUAUGUUAAAGUAACCAUACACUCUAUGUCCGAAUGUUUGUAGACACCCCAUUGUAAUAAAUACAUUAAUGCAUUAAAUUUAAAGAGAAGUAUUGCUAAUAGAUUAGGACUUUCUUGAGCAAAUAUAAGCCUAAACCUAUUCACACAGAAAGAGGGGUGUACAAUAGAGUCUGUCUGUAAAUCUGUCUGUCUGUCUAUCAAUCUGUCUAAACAAACAACACCUGGGCUUCUGCAGGGCUUUGACCCAACACCUGUUUGGAGGUGAAAUGACAUCACUGUCUGUUUUAAUAAGUACGGUAAUGUGAGGUGAAUCAGCACAGACAGGCCAUAUCCACACCCACAGCCAGGAACAGCACGCGUCACCUCUCACCCAUUUCCUCAGGCUGAGCUGAGCUUUGUCUGUAUAUUCACGGCUGCAGAUUCACACGAAUGAACGAACGAAAGAGGCUGAAUAUUAAUGCCGCAUUCAUAACCGCUGCAUGCAUUAAAGAGUGUUGCAACCCGAAUGUUCCAGUAACCCCACACCCACAAACGACAGAUCGAAAGAGAGGAGGGAGAGAGAGAAAAAAAAAACAGAAAUGGGUUCUGCAUCCACCUCCUCAUCGAGCUGCCAUUUGGUCUCGGUGUGGUGGCUGUGCGUGAAACCGUAAGAUCUGGGCAAGAAUGGUUAAGCUGACACGUUCUGUAGAUACAGAUCUGAGAUGACCCCACAGGACCAUCACAGAGAAGCUACAGUGGUGUACAGCAGGGGUCGGCCAGAUGUGGCCAGCAAACAUAAAACAUCUGGCCCGUGAGGUUGUUUGAACUAUAAUGAACGAUAAUGAAAAAAAAAUUAAAUAAAUAAAAUGCUUCUCUGGUGA